rnacentral:rRNA from 1 species
GGGGAAAAAUUAAUAAAUUAUAAAUAAUAAAAAAAUUUUUAAUAUUGGGGGAUAUUGAAGUAUUUUUUUAAAAAAAAUAAUUUAAUUUAUAAUGAAUUAGUAUUGAAGAAGAAAUUUGAAAUAAUUGAAAAUAAAUUGAUAGUAAAGUAAUUUUUAUUUAAUGUAUCUUGUGUAUCAGAGUUUAUUAAAAAAUAUUUUUUUUAAAAAAAAAUCUCGAAUUUAAAAGAGUUAAUUAAUUAUAAAAGUUAAUGUAGAAAAAUUAUUUUUAAUAAUUAAUUUGAAAUGAAAUGUUAAUCGUUUUUAAAUAUAUCUAGUUAUUUUAGAAAAAAAUUUAAUUUAAAAUUUAAAAAAUUUUAUUUUUAAUUAUAAUUAAAAAUAAAAUUUUAAAAUUAAAUAUAUUAAGGGAUAAGCUUUAAUAUAAAAAUUUAUAAUAAAUUAAUUUAAAAAUAAAAAUUUUAAAAUUUAUAUUGUUUAAAAAUUUUAAUUUAUUAUAAAAAAUUUUAUUUUUAAUAAAAUUUAAUAAAAAAAAUUUAAAUUUAUAUAAAAUAAUAAUAAAAAUAAAAAAAAAAUUAGUAAUAAUGAUAAAAUUAGUAUAUUAUUAUAAAAUGUAAUUUAAUUAAUUAAAAAUAAAUUAAAGGAAUUCGGCAAAAUUUUAUAUUCACUUGUUUAUCAAAAACAUGUCUUUUAGAUAAUAAUUUAAAGUCUAAUCUGCCCACUGAUAAAUAUAUUAAAGGGCUGCAGUAUAUUGACUGUACAAAGGUAGCAUAAUCAUUAGUCUUUUAAUUGAAGACUUGUAUGAAAGAUUUGAUGAAAUAUAAACUGUCUCUAAUAUAAUUAUAAAAUUUAAUUUUUUAGUUAAAAAGCUAAAAUAAAUUUAAAAGACGAGAAGACCCUAUAGAGUUUUAUAUUAAAAUUAUUUAAGAUUAUAUAUAUAAAUAAAUAUUAAAAGUAAAAUUAAUAUUUUAUUGGGGUGAUAAAAAAAUUAAUAUAACUUUUUUUUUAAAAAAAACAUAAAUAAGUGAUUAAUUGAUCCAUUUAUUAUGAUUAAAAGAAAAAAUUACCUUAGGGAUAACAGCGUAAUAUUUUUUUUUAGUACAAAUAAAAAAAAAAGUUUGCGACCUCGAUGUUGGAUUAAGAUAAAAUUUAAAUGCAAAAGUUUAAAAUUUUGAUCUGUUCGAUCAUUAAAAUCUUACAUGAUCUGAGUUCAAACCGGUGUGAGCCAGGUUGGUUUCUAUCUUUAAUAAAAAAAAAUAUUUUAGUACGAAAGGAUCAAGUAUUUUUAAUAAUUAAAAUUUAAUGAAUAUUAAUAAUUAAUAAUU